GAUCAUGGCUCAGGAUGAACGCUGGCGGCAUGCCUAAGACAUGCAAGUCGAACGAGAUGGCCCAGUGAAGGUUGAGUGCUUGCACAAGACUGAAUCUGGAUUCCCAUCUAGUGGCAGACGGGUGAGUAACACGUGGGUGACCUACCUUUUCGUUGGGGAUAACAGUUGGAAACGAUUGCUAAUACCGAAUAAAAUGUAAGAGUCAAUUUUACAUUGAAAGGAGCCUUAAAGUCUUCGCGA
rnacentral:rRNA from 1 species